UACAGGGGGGGCAAGCGUUGUUCGGAAUUACUGGGCGUAAAGGGCUCGUAGGCGGCCAACUAAGUCCGACGUGAAAUCCCCAGGCUUAACCUGGGAACUGCGUCGGAUACUGGAUGGCUUGAAUUCGGGAGAGGGAUGCAGAAUUCCAGGUGUAGCGGUGAAAUGCGUAGAUAUCUGGAGGAACACCGGUGGCGAAGGCGGCAUCCUGGACCAACACUGACGCUGAUGAGCGAAAGCCAGGGGAGCAAACGGG
rnacentral:rRNA from 1 species